rnacentral:pre_miRNA from 14 species
AUCCAGCAGGCUACUGGCUAUAUUCCAGGACCUAUCUGGUCCUGGAUAUAGCCAAAGCCCGACUGAAUGGUGUUAAAU